AGGAACUUCUUCACCUGAUCAUGAUCACCCAGAUCAGAAGAAUGUGGAACCAUGUGAGACAUCUUCUCCUCCAACAUCAUAUACAACACAGAGCCAUCCACAUGAUAUAUCUCAACAUCCAGCAGAUGGACCUAGACAGCCACACUUGAAGGUAUUUCCCCGAUCAGUGCUGGGUGACAAGAAGAGGACCUUUAACAAGACCUGGUAUUCACAGCACAAAUGGCUUGAAUAUUCACAGAAUCAGGACUCUGUCUUUUAUUUUGCAUGCAGACACUUUUCUCUUCCAAAUGCUUCUGAGACUCCUUUCACAUCACAUGAAGGGAA